UAUCUCUUCACAUCUCUCUCAAUCUCUCCUCUCGUCCUCGUCCUACUACCUCACCUCCGAUGGCUGCCCCAUUGCCGGCCUCCUUGCCCGUGUCCUCUCUCCCAUUGUCCACCUCCGCAUCCACGCGCUCCGCGACAGUGGCAGGGCCACGUGCACCGAGUCCCGCGACUGCUACCUCUCCACGUCCGAUCUGGGAGGAGGAGGAGGCGGCAUGGGGAGGUGGGCAUGAAGGGAUGGGGUGCCAUGGGGAGGCAGAUUGGAGGGGGCCACUCUGCGCUGGCCUCGGUCAUCGCCAUGGUCUCUAUGCUGCUCCGGGCGACGUCAAGAUUGAGGUUUGGCGAGCUGCUCCGGGCGACGCGGCAGCACCUCAAGAACAUUUGAUUUUUUCUCUAUGGAUGCAUGUGAAUCUCUUUGUGGAUGUGAAUGUCUUUGUGGAUGUGAAUGUUUGAAUCUCUCUAUGGAUGUGAAUCUCUCUGUGGA